GUGUGUCUGUCAGUGAGUGUUUGACUGUCAGUGUGUGUCUUAAUCAUGCAUGAUUAAGGCUCUGCCGAGCCGAAACGUUGCGCUUAUUUUAUGGUGAGGUGGUGAACCCACGAAUAAAAACUUACCUUCAUUAUCCUGAAGUGCUGCCUGUGUUUUUCUAUUUUCAAGACUGUAUUGGUGGAUUCAGCGGCGACAAAUCCUUUACACAGAGCGCCUCUUUGGUAGAAGGCCAGAG